rnacentral:rRNA from 1 species
AAUCGGACAUAGUCACGAGAAGGUUGUAUGUCUAAAGGGAAACAGCCCAGAACAAGAGUAAAUAAGGUUCCUAAAUUAUUAUUAAGUGAAAUAAAGGAUAUAAAUAUAUAAUACAACCAGGAAAUAGGCUUAGAAGCGGUCAUUUUUUAAAGAUCUCGUAAUAGAGCACUGGUUAAUUUAUUCUUUAAUAUAUAGAUACCUAAAAUUUAACGGAUCUAAAUAAUAUACCGAAACCUUGUACAUAUUUAAAUUAAUUUAAAUAUGAGAUAGCGGAACAUUGGAUAAAAUAGUAGAGAUAUAAAUAAAUUAUAUUAUAUUUAAUUAAUCUAAGAAUCCAAGAGAGAAUGCUGACAUGAGUAACGAAAAAGGAUUAUAAAUAAUAUCCUCGCCUUAAGCUUAUGGUAUUUGA